rnacentral:rRNA from 1 species
UACGUAGGAGGCAAGCGUUGUCCGGAAUUACUGGGCGUAAAGCGCGUGUAGGUGGUGGGACAAGUCUGCUGUGAAAGCGCCUGGCUUAACCGGGCGAGGUCGGCGGAAACUGUCCGACUCGAGGACGGUAGAGGGGGGUGGAAUUCCCGGUGUAGUGGUGAAAUGCGUAGAGAUCGGGAGGAACACCGGUGGCGAAGGCGGUUCUCUGGGCCUUACCUGACGCUGAGGAGCGAAAGCGUGGGGAGCGAACAGG